UCCCUGGUGGCUCAGACAGUAGAGAAUCUGCCUGCAGUGCAGGAGAUCUGGGUUCCAUACCUGGUUUGGGAA
rnacentral:tRNA from 1 species